CCUCACUCUGAGAGCAACGGGGUUGCAUCGCUCUGUCCCAGUUGCUGCUGUUACAAACGUGGAAUUUCAGGAGUUUUAACUAUUUCAUUUGUCUCCGUCUUUCAUUUCCUAACACGGCUCCUUUUGGAUAACAAGUUUCUGAUCUGGCUGCAAGUGUAUCUCUCAGUGCUGGAAGUAACGCAGUUCAACCAGGGCUAGAGGAUCUUCGCUGCCUUUUCUCCUGCAGGGGGAAGAAAUAAAACAGAAUCACUAUCCUUCGUGGAUGUGAAGGAAGUACCGAAUGUGGGACUUGAUGGUACUUUGAAAAAUUUAAAAAAAAUAGGAACCACAAAUUUUGAGGUGCUAGAAGGAAGUUUUUUAUUCAUGUGUAAUCAGGGGUGUAGCCAGGGGGGUGCAUGGAGCAGUUGCCCCCCAUCAAGUAAAAAACAACAACAAUCUAAAUGACUAAUUGUGCCGCAGAUUUACUCAGGAGUGAGCCCUAUUGUCCCCUUCAUGGAUCAAUGCCUUGUCGUGGCGAAGGGGCUUGAAUAACUCAGAGAAGCUAUGAGCUAUGCUAUGCAGGGCCACCCAAGAUGGACAGGUCAUAGUGGAGAGUUUUGACUAAACGUGAUCCACCUGGAGAAGGAACUGGCAAGCCACUCCAGUAUCCCUGCCAAGAAAACUCCAUGGACAAAGACAACAGGCAUAUAAAAGUUAUGACGCUGGAAGAUGAGCCCCUCAGGUCAGAAGGCGUCCAACAUGCUACUGAGGAAGAGCGGAGGACAAGUACAAGUAGAUUCAGAGCUGAUGAAGCGGCUGGGCCAAAGCCGAAAGGACGCUCAGUUGCGGAUAUGCCUGGAAGCGAAAGGAAAGUCCGAUGCUGUAAAGAAAAAUAUUGCAUAGGAACCUGGAAUGUAAGAAC